rnacentral:rRNA from 1 species
GACGAACGCUGGCGGCGUGCUUAACACAUGCAAGUCGAACGAAAAGAGGGAAAGAGCUUGCUCUUUCCGGAAUUGAGUGGCAAACGGGUGAGUAACACGUAAACAACCUGCCUUCAGGAUGGGGACAACAGACGGAAACGACUGCUAAUACCGAAUAAGUUCCAAGGGCCGCAUGGCCCAUGGAAGAAAAGGUGGCCUCUACCUGUAAGCUAUCGCCUGAAGAGGGGUUUGCGUCUGAUUAGCUGGUUGGAGGGGUAACGGCCCACCAAGGCGACGAUCAGUAGCCGGUCUGAGAGGAUGAACGGCCACACUGGAAUUGAGACACGGUCCAGACUCCUACGGGAGGCAGCAGUGGGGAAUCUUCCGCAAUGGGCGAAAGCCUGACGGAGCAACGCCGCGUGAGUGAUGACGGCCUUCGGGUUGUAAAACUCUGCGAUCCGGGACGAAAAGGCAGAGUGCGAAGAACAAACUGCAUUGACGGUACCGGAAAAGCAAGCCACGGCUAACUACGUG